rnacentral:rRNA from 1 species
UAAAGAUAUUAAGGGCAUACGGUGGAUGCCUUGGCACAAGAAGUCGAUGAAGGACGUGACAAGCUGCGAUAAGCUGCGGUGAGCUGCACAUAGGCGUUAUUAACCGCAGAUUUCCGAAUGGGGCAACCCGGAUGAGGUAAUGCUCAUCCACUUCCAUCUGAAUCAAAUAGGAUGGCUAGAGACAACCCGGAGAACUGAAACAUCUAAGUACCCGGAGGAAAAGAAAUCAACCGAGAUUGCGCUAGUAGCGGCGAGCGAACGCGCACCUAGCCUAAACCCAUGCAUGUGUAAGUUUCAGGACGUUGCUGCAUGUGGUGUCGUGGGGUCGUCUUUGUGGGAGCCUGUACCUCCCAUGCGCAGUUACAAAAUCCAUUCAUAGUCGAAGUGGUCUGGAAAGUCCUACCAGAGAAGGUAAUAGUCCUGUAAGCGAAAUGAAUGGGUCUGCGUCGAGAUGAUACCCGAGUAAUGCCGGACACGUGAAAUCCGGUAUGAAUCCAGGGAGACCACUCUCUAAGGCUAAAUACUCUCUUGUGACCGAUAGCGAACCAGUACCGUGAGGGAAAGGUGAAAAGUACCCCGAGAGGGGAGUGAAAUAGUACCUGAAACCGUAUGCCUACAAGCAGUCGGAGCGCUCUUGCAGCGUGACGGCGUGCCUUUUGUAGAAUGAGCCAGCGAGUUACGAUGUGCGGCGAGGUUAAGUUUUGAAACGAGCCGUAGUGAAAGCGAGCCUUUAAGAUGGCGUCAUAGUCGUAUGUCGUAGACGCGAAGCCGGGUGAUCUAUCCAUGGGCAGGCUGAAGCAGAGGUAAGACUCUGUGGAGGGCCGAACCCACUUCGGUUGAAAACGGAGGGGAUGACCUGUGGAUAGGGGUGAAAGGCCAAUCAAACUCGGAGAUAUCUCGUUCUCCCCGAAAUAGCUUUAGGGCUAGCCUCGAAUCGUUUACUUACGGUGGUAGAGCCACUGGAUUCGUGCGGGGGCUUCACCGCCUACCAACCGAAACCAAACUCCGAAUGCCGUAAGUCUAUAGAUCGGGAGUCAGAACAUGUGGGCUAAGCCGUGUGUUCGAGAGGGAAACAGCCCAGACCGCCUGCUAAGGUCCCUAAAUUCAUGCUAAGUGGCAAAGGAUGUGCGUUUGCCUAGACAACCAGGAUGUUGGCUUAGAAGCAGCCAUGCAUUUAAAGAGUGCGUAACAGCUCACUGGUCAAGUGGACAUGCGCCGACAAUUCACGGGGCUCAAGCAUGAUACCGAAGCAGCGGACUGAUAUUUUUCAGUGGUAGGGGAGCUUUCUUAUCUGGGUCGAAGCUGUGUGGCAACGCAUGGUGGACUGGUAAGAAGUGAGAAUGCUGGCAUGAGUAACGAGAGUGAGGCGAGAAACCUCACCGCCGUAAGCCUAAGGGUUCCUGGGCAAGGCUAAUCCUCCCAGGGUCAGUCGGGAGCUAAGACGAGGCCGACAGGCGUAGUCGAUGCACAACAGGUUGAUAUUCCUGUACCACCACGAAUCGUUAUGACGAUGGGGUGACGGAGAAGGAUAGCUGGGCGGGGUUCUGGACGUCCCCGUGAAAGCGUGUAGGGUGCGCAUGCAGGUAAAUCCGCAAGCGCUUAUGCCUGAGACGUGAGACGAAGCUCUAAGUGAAGUCAGUGAUUCCCUGCUUCCAAGAAAAACCUCUAAGCAGAUAUCGUGGUGCCCGUACCAAAACCGACACAGGUAGGCGGGUAGAGUAUACCAAGGCGAUCGGGAGAACUAUGGUUAAGGAACUCGGCAUAAUGACUCCGUAACUUCGGGAGAAGGAGUGCCGCUCAUGGGUGAUAGGGCAUGCCCCUAAAAGCCUAGGGCGGUCGCAGUGAAACGGCCCAAGCGACUGUUUAUCAAAAACACAGGACUCUGCUAAGUCGCAAGACGAUGUAUAGGGUCUGACGCCUGCCCGGUGCUGGAAGGUUACGUGGAUGGGUUAGCCUUUUUGGGCGAAGCUCUGAAACUAAGCCCCAGUAAACGGCGGCCGUAACUAUAACGGUCCUAAGGUAGCGAAAUUCCUUGUCGGGUAAGUUCCGACCUGCACGAAUGGCGUAACGAUUUGGGCGCUGUCUCAACCAUAGACCCGGUGAAAUUGUAUUAUUCGUGAAGAUGCGAAUUACCCACGGAAGGACGGAAAGACCCCGUGAACCUUCACUACAGCUUGACAUUGAUCAUUGGUUCUGUGUGUAGAGGAUAGGUGGGAGACCGUGAAGCACGAGCGCCAGCUCGUGUGGAGUCAUCCUUGGAAUACCACCCUCACAGUAUUGGUGAUCUAACGCGGCGCCGUUAUCCGGGUCGCGGACCGUGUCAGGUGGGUAGUUUGACUGGGGCGGUCGCCUCCUAAAAGGUAACGGAGGCGUACGU